UCGCUACUACCGAUUGAAUGGCUUAGUGAGCUCUAGGGAUUAGCGUGCUUUGUUGGGUUUCCUUCGAAGUGCAUUGAGAACUAGAUCAAACUUGAUCAUUUAGAGGAAGUAA
rnacentral:rRNA from 1 species